ACGCAACAGGAGGCGCAACCCUUGGGUUUCACAGAGCAGUGAAUACUUC
rnacentral:SRP_RNA from 1 species